AGUCGUAACAAGGUAUCCGUAGGUGAACCUGCGGAUGGAUCAUUACCAAAGGAUCCCAUCCAAACACCCUGUGAACUGGUCUUAACUCGGUCGGCGCCGAUGUUGCGACAAAGGUCUGCUCGUUACUGUAUUUUCGGCCUACGAGGAAUCAUGUUUUGGCUGAGCGACUACAAUCGUGAGGCUGUAAUGGAAACCUUGGGGGUCUAAAAAGACAUUGUGAGUGGACGUGCUGGAGCAACACUCUGUGUCGGCCGUACAACAACUUUCAAACCAUUCUGAAAUCAUAAAGUCAAUAACCUAGAACAACUUUUAGCAAUGGAUCUCUAGGCUCUU
rnacentral:misc_RNA from 1 species